rnacentral:lncRNA from 1 species
UUUCCUUAUUAUUUUCUUGUUUUAAUUUUACCUUUUAUUUUCUUUUUCUUUUGGUUUUAUCUUUAUUGUUCUUCCUUGCUUCUAUUUGUUUUUAUUUUUUCUUUUUAGGUUUUCUAUGUUUCUUCAUUCUUAUUUUAUAUUUUAUUUCCUUUUAAUCUUCUUUUUAUCCUUAUUUAAAUUAUUCAUUUAUUUUAUUUGCUCUAUGCACUUUUUAUCAUUUGUUAAUCAUGUUUGUUUUUAUAUUUUUCUUCUUAGUAAUUUAAUUUUUUAUUUUUAUUUUCUCUAUAUAUGUGAUGUUUAUGUAGUAUAUAUUUAGUGUUCUAUGUUGUGUUAUGUCAUAUUUACGUAGUAUACAUGUGAUGUUCUAUGAUAUUUCUUAUGGUGUUCACUUAGUAUACAUGUAAUCUAUAAUAGAUGUGAUAUUCUAUAAUAUAUUUAAUGAUGUUCUAUGAUGUAUUUAGUGAUGUUAAUGUUCUAUAAAUAUAUUUAUGAUAUUUGAAAAGUAAUCCUUUGACAUUAUUUGAAAUUUUUCUCCAUUUUAUGUUUUUAUUUUUUUCUUAUGAUUUUUACUCUAGAUUUUAUUAUUACUUUUAUCUAUGUCAUGUAUUUUAUUUUUAUGUAUAUUGUAAUAUCAGUUUCAUAAACCUAAAACUAAAAUACUAUUCUUCUAAACCGAUAACAUUUUUUUACAAAGACAGAACAUUGUCUCUUGAAAUAUUCAUUAAUAAAAUUUUAUCUAAAUAUAUCCAUGUGUGAUCUUGUUUUGAACGAUUUGUUAUAAGAAAUUUAAUGGUGCAAUCGGAAUUUAAUUUAUACCUCUGGUUUAGGAGUUAUGACUUUUUUAAUUCGCUAAACCAAUUUUGCAGGUGAGUAGGGCGUAGGUUGAUGGGAUAGUGUGUUAUCGCGCAGUAAAAAAGACCACCAAAGGGAUAGGAGUUGUGGACGGAACCUCUCCAUAAUUUUUAGUUGUAGAGAUAAAUAUUCAUUAAUAAAAUUUUAUCUAAAUAUAUUCAUAUGUGAUCUUAUUUUGAAGGAUUUGUUAUAAGAAAUUUCAUGGUGCAAUCAGAAUUUAAUUUAUAUCUUCGGUUUAAGAGUUAUGACUUUUUUAAUUCGCUAAAAUAAUUUUGCAUGCAUGGGUGAGUGGGGCCUGGGUUCAUGGGGGAGUUGUGGCUUCACCAUGGGUGUGGUAUAUAUAUAUAUAUAUAUAUAUAUAUAUAUAUAUACAACUAAAAAUUAUGGAAAGGACCCAUCUACCACACCCAUGAUGAAGCCACAACUCCCAUCCCUUUUAGCCAUGAUAGGCUAUCCCAUCAACCUAGGCUCCACUCACCCAUGCAUGCAAAAUUAUUUUAGCGAAUUUAAAAAAGUCAUAACUUUUAAACCGAAGAUAUAAAUUAAAUUCCGAUUGCACCAUUAAAUUUCUCAUAACAAAUCCUUCAAAACAAGAUCACACAUAGAUAUAUUUAGAUAAAAUUUUAUUAAUUAAUAUUUAUCUCUACAACUAAAUAGUAUGGAGAGGACCCAUCCACAACUUUCAUCCCUUUGGUGGUCUUUUUUACUACACGAUGACACGCUAUCCCAUCAACCUAGGCCCCACUCACCUAUGCAUGCAAAAUUGUUUUAGCGAAUUAAAAAAGUCAUAACUCCUAAACUAGAGAUAUAAAUUAAAUUCUGAUUGCACCAUUAAAUUUCUUAUAACAAAUCCUUCAAAACAAGAUCACACAUAGAUAUAUUUAGAUAAAAUUUUAUUAAUAAAUAUUUAUCUUAUAAAGAUAAAAUAUUUUCUUUUAUUAAGUAGAAACAAUAUUCUAGGUUCAACAUACAAUGUUCAGUCUUUGUAAAAAAAUGUUAUCGAUUUAGAAGAAUAGUAUUUUGGUUUUAGGUUUAUGAAACUAAUAUUACAAUAUACAUAAAAAUACAUAAAUACAUGACAUAGAUAAAAAUAAAAAAAUCUAGAGUAAAAAGCAUAAGAAAAAAAAAUAAAAACACAAAAUGGAUAAAAAUUUCAAAUAAUGUCAAAGGGUUACUUUUUAAAUAUCGUAAAUAUAUUUAUAGAACAUUAACAUCACUAAAUACAUCAUAGAACAUCAUUAAAUAUAUUAUAGACAUCUAUUAUAGAUUACAUGUAUACUAAGUGUACACCGUAAGAAACAUCAUAGAACAUCACAUAUAUAUUACGUAAACAUGACAUAACACAAUAUAGAACACUAAAUAUAUACUACAUAAAUAUCACAUAUAUAUAGAAAAUAAAAAUAAAAAAUAAAAUUACUAAAAAAAUAUAAAAACAAACAUAAUUAACAAAUGGUAAAAAGUGCAUAGAGCAAAUAAAAUUAAUGAAUAAUUUAAAUAAGGAUAAAAAUAAGAUUAAAAGGAAAUAAAAUAUAAAAUAAGAAUGAAGAAACAUAGAAAAUCUGAAAAGAAAAAAGAAAAACAAACAGAAGUAAGGAAGAACAAUAAAAAUAAAACCAAAAGAAAAAAAUAAAAGGUAAAAUUAAAACAAGAAAAGAAUAAGGAAAGGACAAUAAAUAAAAUAAAAUCGAAAAACAAAAAUCAAAAAAGAAAUGAAAAAGGAAGAAUAUAGACAGAAAAAAUAAAAUAACAAUGAAGAAACAUAGAGUAUGUGGAUUUUAAAACCCGUAACAACGUCGGGCAUUAAUCUAGUAUAUAUAUACAACUAAAAGUUACCAAGAGGACCCGUCUACCACAAUGUGGUGAAGCCAUGACUCUAAUCCUCUUUGUUGACACAUGGGCCCCAUCGCUGACACAUGCACAUAACUAAGGCACCUAGAUUUAUGUGCAGUGACCAUGUUUACAAACUAAAAAAAAUCAUAACCGCAAAACCAAACAUCCAAAUUAAAUUUCGAUUACGCCAUCAGAUUUCUUGUAAUAAAUCCUUCAAAACAAGAUCUCACAUGGAUAUAUUUAGAUAAAAAUAUUUUAAUGAAUAUUUAUCUUAUAAAGCAUUAAUUACUGUUGUUAGUGAGUAUGUCUAACCUUGUGGUUCUAUUUUCAGUGGAAAUUCAAAGGGUAUUAAGGGGACCUUGAGCUUCGAACUAAAAAAUUAAUCUUGUACCUUUUUUCAAUCCGAUUCUAUACUUAGUGUCUCACGAAGUGUUUCAUCCUUUGUUGGAUGGUUUGAUUUCAAGGGUCAUUGGCCUUGCUACAACCCAUUUAUAGUUUUAGUGAUGCCCUUUCAAAUUUGCAUGUCAGGCAAUUUCUUCUUUAUUGGCUGCAUGCAUGGGGUGAAUAAAAAACUAAUAGAAAUAAGAAGAGAAAGGUUGGACGAGCGUGUUCAGAUGUAAAUUGCUACCAAUCAAGAAGAAAGUGUUGCUCUUGCAUGUCUUUCUAUUGAAUUUAACAAAUCAUUUAUGUCUAAUAAAUCAGUUAUUUUUAGUUGAUUGAUUAUGGCCCACGUAAAGGCACUCACAAUGCAGAAAGUAUCAUAAAGUCUAAAGUUAUUUAUUACCUCAAACAAUGUGGACUUAGAGUCUAAAUAAGACUUGGAGUCUUAUUUUUUCUACCUCUUUCUUCAAUAAAUAUGUUGUCACAUCAGCAAAAUACUAUAAAUAAUAUGUAAUUAAUUGUCUUGGACUCUGUAAUAGACUCUUGCAUUGUGAGUGCCCUAAGAGAUCAUAGCUUACAGACUAGACUUACUUGAGUAUUUAUGUCUACCCUCCAUCUAUUUAUCGGAGUCAUCUUACCAAAAAAAUUUUCUCCAAGAAUAAGAGCCAUCUAAGCUAGGGACCACUAUUUUCAUCUUUUUCCACAUGCGGCUCCUCAAAUUGGUCUAAUUAAUUCAACUGUCUGCAUGCAACUCCAUUCAUUGGCCGAAUUAAUUUUCCCUUGGUCAAUGUGCACGACCCUAAAAUGACUCCCAUAAAUAGAUGGAGGGAGUAUAACACUGCAUGUCUCAUGUAUUUUACUUAUUACUUGAGAAUUAAAUUUUGAAGAUUAGAUUCGGGAGGUUUGUAGUUCAUAGAGGUGAUAUCUUCACUACAGUCUAAACAACUUAGGUGUUAAUGGUAGACUUUAAAUCAUUGAUUUCCAAGCGGCACUGAGCUAAAGUGAACUAUAAUCUUCGCUCAUAAUUUGCUUGUCCAUACAAGGUGUUUUAUGAUAUUUGACUAUACAAGAUGUUUGGUUACUCAAAUCGAAACCAUGAUGCCAUAAGAUUUUUUUUUCAUGUGUUAGCUGAAAAUUACU